CGGUCCUACGGGGGGCAGCAGUGAGGAAUAUUGGUCAAUGGCCGGAAGGCUGAACCAGCCAAGCCGCGUGAAGGACGAAGGUGCCAAGCAUUGUAAACUUCUUUUGUCAAGGGACAAAAUCAGGCUCGAGAGCCUGACCGAGGGUACUUGAAGAAAAAGCAUCGGCUAACUCCGUGCCAGCAGCCGCGGUAAUACGGAGGAUGCGAGCGUUAUCCGGAUUUAUUGGGUUUAAAGGGUGCGUAGGCGGUCCGGAAAGUCAGCGGUAAAAGCCCGGGGCUCAACCCCGGCGAGCCGUUGAGACUGUC
rnacentral:rRNA from 1 species